rnacentral:rRNA from 1 species
GAUGAACGCUGGCGGCGUGCCUAAUACAUGCAAGUCGAGCGAACAGACGAGGCUGUUGCUCCUCUCUCGUGUGCGGCGCGGGGGUGUGAGACACGUGUAUCAACCCCCUAUAUGAGUGAGAUAUCUUCGGGAAAACGGCGAUAAUAUCGGAGAAUAUAUUGAACCGCGCGGGUCGCUAGAGAGAUACGGUGUUUCGGUAUCUUCUAGAGGCAUACGCGCCGUGUGAGCUCGUUGGUAGGGUAAAGGCUUACCACGGCGACGAUGCGUAGCCGACCUGAGAGGGUGAUAGGCCACACUGGAGCUGAGACACGGUCCAGACUCCUACGGGAGGCAGCAGUAGGGAAUCUUCCGCAAUGGUCGAAAGCCUGACGGAGCAACGCCGCGUGAGUGAUGAAGGUCUUCGGAUCGUAAAACUCUGUUAUGAGUGAAGAACAAAUGUGUAAGUAACUGAACGCUGCUUGACGGUACCUUAUCAGAAAGCCACGGCUAACUACGUG